rnacentral:lncRNA from 1 species
GUGAAGUCAAAAUAACAAACGCGUGCAUCGCUUUCGAAAGUUUAUUUUGACUUGUCUUGAUAGAAUUUACCCCUAAAUUUUGAAUAUGUUGUUGUGGUGAAAUUUAUAAUCAUGUACAAUAAGGGGAUUGUAGUUUUGAUAAUACUAGGUUGAGAUAAAAUUUUCUAAUGAGAACAUGUAGUAUUAUGAUUUCGAAGCACUAGAUGUUUGAGUUCCGAUUCUUUAGGAAGAAGCUACUUGUGAUUUCAUCGCGCCUACGCCAAAGAAUGAAUAUUUUUUUGAGAUGUGCCAAGUUCUUGCUCGACAAGGUUGGAAAGGACUGCUCCAAGUAGUGUUGAUUUCGCCAAGUUACAAAAAUAAGACACGCCAUUUGCUCGUUUGCAACAAAGCAUGUGGUUGCUCCUACUCCAAGCCUCUUCGAGCCAAUCCGCAAGGAUGAGAUAUGCCACGUGCUCGUUCAUCAAGGGCAGAAUUCGGUCACCGCAAGCCUCUUUCUCACCAAGCCUCAAUGAAGGAACGCUUCAUCAAGCCUUCUGUGACAAAUUGUAAGAAGAGAGUGCUCCGUCUACUUCGUCACAGUUACUUGAAAUGCUAUGUACAUCUUCGGCCCACUAUAAGAAGAGGAUGCUCCGUGAAUUUGUUGGCCAAGUUGCAAGACGUCAUCUACUCAGAGGCUCAAUAGAUACAAAGUCUUCACGCACCUCUUUGCCUGUAAAAAAAACAAAAACAUAUAGUUAAACAUGUUUCACUUUGGGGAGAGCGCAAAGUUGAAGGAGUUUGCAUGUCGAAACUAGUCGGUCAACUUCUAUAAGAUAUCUAGGAAGAUAUAAGGUCAAUAUUAUUAUGAUAUUUAUAUAUUUUGUAGCUCUAGAAGCUAGUUCCCGACGCCACAAAUCACUCGUGAUUUUGACGUUGCUACACCAAUAUAUAUGUCUUUUGCUGAAGGUGUGCAAAGCUGUAAAUUUGAGCACGGCAACAUUCGAAACGAAAUUUCAAAAUAGUACAUGAGAAGCUACAAAAGGAAUUUCACCCCAAAUUUUUUAUAUGUUGAAGUACUUGAAGUGAAGUGUCAAGACGAUCAAACAGCUUGUGUUUUUGAUGAUCCUAGGACAACAUAUGAUUGUUUUCUCUAUAAAUGCCUAAAGAUGACUAUCCCGAAC